rnacentral:rRNA from 1 species
GAUGAACGCUGGCGGCGUGCCUAAUACAUGCAAGUCGAGCGAACAGACGAGGAGCUUGCGCCUCGGACGUUAGCGGCGGACGGGUGAGUAACGCGUGGAUAACCUACCUAUAAGACUGGUAUAACUUCGGGAAACCGGAUCUAAUACCGUAGAAUCUAUUGAACCGCGUGGUGCAAUAGUAAAAGACGGUUUUGCUGUCACUACUAGAUGGAUCCGCGCCGGAUUGGCUAGUUGGUGAUGUAACUGCUUACCAAGGCGACGAUGCGUAGGCGACCUGAUAGAGAGAUAGGCCACACUGGAACUGAGACACGGUCAAGACUCCUACGGGAGGCAGCAGUAGGGAAUCUUCCGCAAUGGGCGAAAGCUUGACGGAGCAACGCCGCGUGAGUGAUGAAGGUCUUCGGAUCGUAAAACUCUGUUAUUAGGGAAGAACAAAUGUGUAAGUAAAUAUGCACGUCUUGACGGUACCUAAUCAGAAAGCCACGGCUAACUACGUG